rnacentral:rRNA from 1 species
CCUGCAUGAAGUCGGAAUUGCUAGUAAUCGCAGAUCAGCAUGCUGCGGUGAAUACGUUCCCGGGCCUUGUACACACCGCCCGUCACACCAUGGGAGUCGGUAACACCCAAAGUUGGUAGCCUAACCGCAAGGAGGGCGCCGCCUAAGGUGGGAUUGAUGACUGGGGUGAAGUCGUAACAAGGUAAC